GUAGGGGACGAGCGUUGUCCGGAUUUAUUGGGCGUAAAGCGCGCGUAGGCGGCCCGGAAAGUCGGUUGUGAAAACCCGGGGCUCAACCCCGGGCCUGCAUCCGAUACUUCCGGGCUGGAGGUAGGUAGGGGAGAUCGGAAUUCCUGGUGUAGCGGUGAAAUGCGCAGAUAUCAGGAGGAACACCGGUGGCGAAGGCGGAUCUCUGGGCCUUACCUGACGCUGAGGCGCGAAAGCUAGGGGAGCGAACAGGAUUAGAUACCCUGGUAGUCCUAGCCGUAAACGAUGAGCACUGGAUUGGAGGGCCCUCCAUAGCCUUCCAGUCGCAGCGAAAGUGUUAAGUGCUCCGCCUGGGGAGUAUGGUCGCAAGGCUG
rnacentral:rRNA from 1 species